CGGCGGACGGGUGAGUAAUGCCUAGGAAUCUGCCUGGUAGUGGGGAACAACGUUUCGAAAGGAACGCUAAUACCGCAUACGUCCUACGGGAGAAAGCAGGGGACCUUCGGGCCUUGCGCUAUCAGAUGAGCCUAGGUCGGAUUAGCUAGUUGGUGAGGUAAUGGCUCACCAAGGCGACGAUCCGUAACUGGUCUGAGAGGAUGAUCAGUCACACUGGAACUGAGACACGGUCCAGACUCCUACGGGAGGCAGCAGAG
rnacentral:rRNA from 1 species